GGUUAAGUUAUAAAGGGCGCGCGGCGGAUGCCUUGGCACUAGAAGCCGAUGAAGGACGGCACUAACACCGAUAUGCUUCGGGGAGCUGUA
rnacentral:ncRNA from 1 species